rnacentral:rRNA from 1 species
UACGUAGGGGGCUAGCGUUGUCCGGAAUCAUUGGGCGUAAAGAGCGCGUAGGCGGCUAGAUAAGUCCGGUGUGAAAGUCACAGGCUCAACCUGUGAAUGCCGCUGGAAACUGUCUGGCUAGAGUCCGGAAGGGGCGAGUGGAAUUCCUGGUGUAGCGGUGAAAUGCGCAGAUAUCAGGAGGAACACCGGUGGCGAAGGCGGGUCUCUGGGCCGAUACUGACGCUGAGGAGCGAAAGCGUGGGGAGCAAACAGG